CGCAGCUUGCGCUCCUUGGUAUUCCAAGGAGCAUGCCUGUUUGAGUGUCGUUUAUCUCUCUCACAUGUGUUUCCACACAUGCGAGGUCCUUGGGCUUGGUUUGGCGACAAACCUUGCCUUAAAAUGAUGAACUGGACCACCAGUUGGGUUGCUAAGGCACAAAAACCCACGUAAACGGUGUCCGUUUUUUACCACUAUAUAAACAUAUGGCCUCAAAUCAGGUAGGACUACCCGCUGAACUUAA
rnacentral:misc_RNA from 1 species